rnacentral:rRNA from 1 species
AUGCACAAGUCUUGUGAUCUUGGAUCCCAACUUUCUGAAUUGGAUAAGAAGAAGAUCAGUCUCAACCUUGAUCUAGAACUAGCCAAGAAGAACCUCAAGAAUGCUCAGGACGAAGCAGCUAUCAUGGGAGAGAAAAUGAAGCAAGCUCUGGAGAAGAAGGAUCGGGAUCUUGCCGCGGCCCAGAAGGAGGCGCGAGAGAAAACAACACUUGCGGACAAGAAGCUGGCCUCAGUCAGCAAGUUGGAAGAGGAGAACUCCAAGUUGAAGACCGCCGUUUCUCAAGCUAACCGGGAGGUCAAGCAACUGAAGAAAGACAAGGAAAGCUUGACCGACGAAGUUGGUAGCCUCAAGGCCAAGAAGGGCGAAUUAGAGUCUUAUCUGGGGCAGCUUGCUGCGAAGUUGGUCUUGAAGCUUGAAGAACUUUGUCAAGAUUUUGAAGCAAAAACUGGGCGGGUCGAAACGGGUCUCGACCCCAUAAACUCUCCUGUCCAAGAUGACGUUGCAAUGAAUGUGUUAUGGUUGGAGUCACGUAUGGACAGUGCUGUGGGUUAUCUUGCUCGACUGAAGGCGGCUAUGACGCGGAUUGAUGCUGAAAUCUGGCCUCAGGCGGAACUCUCACAGGAUCUCGAGUCUCUGAUGACUCGACUCAAUCAAAUACCCAAUCGAGUGCAAGAAUGGAAGAAAUCAUCUGCUUGCUGUGGCGCUGACGUUGCCCUGUCAUUGGUCCGAGUGCACUGCAAGGAUGUCAGAGAAGACAAGCCGGUAGCCCUCAAGGUUGCGAACACCAAAAAGCACAAUUUCCAGUCCUUCAUGGACACUUUCCUUGACGCCACCACUCGCAUCGCAGACAACAUCGACCUUGUCAGUUUCUAUGAUCCAGCAAGUCCUUCUCUCGACGAGUGA